GGCGGAUUCGAGGACGAGAAACGCGAACCAAACGAAAACAAAAGGGAGUAGGAUGGCUAGCACCAGCAGCAACAGUAUCAACGUCCGUCCAGAGAAUCUCCUUGCCCCUCCCGCGCUUCCUUUACCGGGAUUCGAUAUGAUCUCCGAUCUCCACACUGAAAACAAAACUUUUACUUAAACAACCUAAAACCAACAAGGAUGUUCGGAUGAGGAAGCUCGAAGAUGGAAGACGAAACGCGAAUCCAAAAAUUGGAUAAACAAUCAAUGGAUUAACGAGACUCGACGAUGAGCGAGAGGGUGUUGAUGUUGUACGACGGGAAUAAAACAACAUUCAAAAUCGAUUUUCUGAAGAAGCCAAGGAGACGACACAUGUAAACCAAAUAUAGUAGUAUAUUUCACUAGAGUAUUAUUCCAUCAUAAUAAAUUUAUUCUUUGUAAUAUUUUGAACAAAGAAUAAUAGUACUAUAAAAUGUUAAAAGCCAAAACCAA